rnacentral:rRNA from 1 species
AUUGAACGCUGGCGGCAGGCCUAACACAUGCAAGUCGAACGAGUGGCGGACGGGUGAGUAAUGUCUGGGAAACUGCCUGAUGGAGGGGGAUAACUACUGGAAACGGUAGCUAAUAACGCAUACCAUACGAUGCGCCCAGAUGGGAUUAGCUAGUUGGUGGGGUAACGGCUCACCAAGGCGACGAUCCCUAGCUGGUCUGAGAGGAUGACCAGCCACACUGGAAGUGAGACACGGUCCAGAAUCCUACGGGAGGCAGCAGUGGGGAAUAUUGCACAAUGGGCGAAAGCCUGAUGCAGCCAUGCCGCGUGUAUGAAGAAGGCCUUCGGGUUGUAAAGUACUUUCAGCAGGGAGGCGUUAUCCGCAGAAGAAGAACCGGCUAACUCCGUGCCAGCAGCCGCGGUAAUAC